CAGGGCUUGACAUGGGGAGGACGCAGUCAGAGAUGGCUGUUCCCGCAAGGGCCUCCUGCACAGGUGCUGCAUGGCUGUCGUCAGCUCGUGUCGUGAGAUGUUGGGUUAAGUCCCGCAACGAGCGCAACCCUCGCCUUCAGUUGCCAGCACGUUUGGGUGGGCACUCUGAAGGAACUGCCGGUGACAAGCCGGAGGAAGGUGGGGAUGACGUCAAGUCCUCAUGGCCCUUAUGUCCUGGGCUACACACGUGCUACAAUGGCGGUGACAGUGGGAUGCCAGGUCGCGAGGCCGAGCCGAUCCCAAAAAGCCGUCUCAGUUCAGAUUGCACUCUGCAACUCGAGUGCAUGAAGGUGGAAUCGCUAGUAAUCGCGGAUCAGCUACACCGCGGUGAAUACGUUCCC
rnacentral:rRNA from 1 species